UACGUAGGGCGCAAGCGUUGUCCGGAAUCAUUGGGCGUAAAGAGCUCGUAGGCGGCCUGUUGCGUCCGCUGUGAAAUCCCGGGGCUUAACCCCGGGCGUGCAGUGGAUACGGGCUGGCUGGAGGCAGGCAGGGGAGAACGGAAUUCCCGGUGUAGCGGUGAAAUGCGCAGAUAUCGGGAGGAACACCGGUGGCGAAGGCGGUUCUCUGGGCCUUACCUGACACUGAGGAGCGAAAGCGUGGGGAGCGAACAGG
rnacentral:rRNA from 1 species